GCGGAGCGGCCGGCGCCGCCAUCUUGAGCGUGGCGCCCGCCCGGCUCCCGCCGGCCGCCAUCUUGAGCGUGGCGUGAGGGCUCGCCCCGCCUCUCGCAGCCCGCCCGGUUCCUGGGGCAGCGGCUGCCAUGGACGGAGCGUGUCCAAAGCUGCCCAAAGAACCGCAGUGUGAUGGACACGCUUUCAAAAUGUAGCGAACCUGUGGGAAAGUCGUGUCUGGAGUUGAAAAGAAAGGAGCAAGGUGAUUUUUGAGGAAGAGACAAGAUGAAGAUGUUAUCCAGAUGAAGGGUUAUCCAGAGAUCAUCUGACUCCAGGAAUUUGGGAAGCCCAUCUUCUCUCUUCGUGCCCCGGGACUUGACAUGCUUCAUUGUAGCUACUACUUCCAUAGGCACCCAAUUCAAGGAUCUUAGUUAUUUAAGUCCUCCUUUAAACAAGGAUUAAGGAUUCCCUGUAAUAAUAAAGUUGCAUUAAAUUGCAGAAAGUAA